CACUCCUGCGGGAGGCAGCAGUGGGGAAUUUUGGACAAUGGGCGAAAGCCUGAUCCAGCAAUGCCGCGUGAGUGAAGAAGGCCUUCGGGUUGUAAAGCUCUUUUGUCAGGGAAGAAACGGUGAAAGCUAAUAUCUUUUGCUAAUGACGGUACCUGAAGAAUAAGCACCGGCUAACUACGUGCCAGCAGCCGCGGUAAUACGUAGGGUGCAAGCGUUAAUCGGAAUUACUGGGCGUAAAGCGUGCGCAGGCGGUUUUGUAAGUCUGAUGUGAAAUCCCCGGGCUCAACCUGGGAAUUGCAUUGGAGACUGCAAGGCUAGAAUCUGGCAGAGGGGGGUAGAAUUCCACGUGUAGCAGUGAAAUGCGUAGAUAUGUGGAGGAACACCGAUGGCGAAGGCAGCCCCCUGUGUCAAGAUUGACGCUCAUGCACGAAAGCGUGGGGAGCAAACAGGAUUAGAUACCCCUGUAGUCCCA
rnacentral:rRNA from 1 species